rnacentral:rRNA from 1 species
AGAUUAAGUUAUUAAGGGCGCACGGUGGAUGCCUUGGCACUAGAAGCCGAUGAAGGACGUUACUAACGACGAUAUGCUUUGGGGAGCUGUAAGUAAGCUUUGAUCCAGAGAUUUCCGAAUGGGGAAACCCAGCAUGAGUUAUGUCAUGUUAUCGAUAUGUGAAUACAUAGCAUAUCAGAAGGCACACCCGGAGAACUGAAACAUCUUAGUACCCGGAGGAAGAGAAAGAAAAUUCGAUUCCCUUAGUAGCGGCGAGCGAAACGGGAAGAGCCCAAACCAAAAAGCUUGCUUGUUGGGGUUGUAGGACACUCUAUACGGAGUUACAAAGGACGACAUUAGACGAAUCAUCUGGAAAGAUGAAUCAAAGAAGGUAAUAAUCCUGUAGUCGAAAAUGUUGUCUCUCUUGAGUGGAUCCUGAGUACGACGGAGCACGUGAAAUUCCGUCGGAAUCUGGGAGGACCAUCUCCUAAGGCUAAAUACUCUCUAGUGACCGAUAGUGAACCAGUACCGUGAGGGAAAGGUGAAAAGCACCCCGGAAGGGGAGUGAAAUAGAACCUGAAACCGUGUGCUUACAAGUAGUCAGAGCCCGUUAAUGGGUGAUGGCGUGCCUUUUGUAGAAUGAACCGGCGAGUUACGAUUUGAUGCAAGGUUAAGCAGUAAAUGUGGAGCCGUAGCGAAAGCGAGUCUGAAUAGGGCGUUUAGUAUUUGGUCGUAGACCCGAAACCAGGUGAUCUACCCUUGGUCAGGUUGAAGUUCAGGUAACACUGAAUGGAGGACCGAACCGACUUACGUUGAAAAGUGAGCGGAUGAACUGAGGGUAGCGGAGAAAUUCCAAUCGAACCUGGAGAUAGCUGGUUCUCUCCGAAAUAGCUUUAGGGCUAGCCUCAAGUGAUGAUUAUUGGAGGUAGAGCACUGUUUGGACGAGGGGCCCCUCUCGGGUUACCGAAUUCAGACAAACUCCGAAUGCCAAUUAAUUUAACUUGGGAGUCAGAACAUGGGUGAUAAGGUCCGUG